GCCCUGGGAGCCAUGGUGGUCGAAGCCUUCUGCCAAGUACAUAUCUCUUGGUCAGGAUGGAACUCAACUGGUCCAGCCGCUUGUGAAGGAGGAUACAGCUGUGUCUUCGGAAGACAGAAUAGGAAGUGACCCUUUGCAUGACAUUCCACUUGGCCCUGACUCUCCAUUACCCUCGGUUAGAAAGCUCAGUGCAGCUGGGCCAUCCCCUUUACUGGCUGUUCACCUUGUUGACAUCAUGUACAGUUAUUGCUUUACUCUUCGCCUCUACAAUGGUGACUGGCAAUCAGAUCCCGUAGGAUCAGCCACAGUUUUGUUGAGCGUCUCUUCUGUUCUUGGUCAAGGGGGGCAGCCAGAGACAGUCCUGGAAGCUCUAUCCCACUGCAUGGAGCAAACAUGCUCAUCAGCCUUCAGACACACGGGGGGCCUGCAAUUCGCAUUGGGGCUAAUCAACGACACAAUAACCCUUCUUCAUCUUGAUACUCCAGCCGUAGUUUGCCUGCUUUGUGAUCUAAGGAGACUAAUCCAACACGCAGAGAAGGAUUUGAAGUCGGAGAAGUACUGCAAGUCCAAAAGUUCUGAAAUGAAAACGAAGCUCAAGUCUGCAGAAAGGAAGGUUUAUUUUAUCAUGUGUUGGGCUCACGAGCAGCCAAAAGAAGCAUGGUCUUCCAUAGCAGCCAUUGUCGAGGCAGAGAAGAGCCG
rnacentral:misc_RNA from 1 species